UGGGGAAUAUUGCACAAUGGGGGAAACCCUGAUGCAGCGACGCCGCGUGAGCGAAGAAGGUUUUCGAAUCGUAAAGCUCUGUCCUAUGAGAAGAUAAUGACGGUAUCAUAGGAGGAAGCCCCGGCUAAAUACGUGCCAGCAGCCGCGGUAAUACGUAUGGGGCGAGCGUUGUCCGGAAUUAUUGGGCGUAAAGGGUACGUAGGCGGUCUAUUAAGUCAGGUGUGAAAGCGUGAGGCUUAACCUCAUUAAGCACUUGAAACUGAUAGACUUGAGUGAAGGAGAGGAAAGUGGAAUUCCUAGUGUAGCGGUGAAAUGCGUAGAUAUUAGGAGGAAUGCCGAUGAUGAAGAUAACUCACUGGACAGAAACUGACGCUGAAGUGCGAAAGCUAGGGGAGCAAACAGG
rnacentral:rRNA from 1 species